rnacentral:rRNA from 1 species
CCUACGGGUGGCUGCAGUGGGGAAUAUUGCACAAUGGGCGAAAGCCUGAUGCAGCAACGCCGCGUGAGCGAUGAAGGCCUUCGGGUCGUAAAGCUCUGUCCUCAAGGAAGAUAAUGACGGUACUUGAGGAGGAAGCCCCGGCUACCUACGUUCCAGCAGCCGCGGUAAUACGUAGGGGGCUAGCGUUAUCCGGAUUUCCUGGGCGUAAAGGGUGCGUAGGUGGUUUCUUAAGUACGAGGUGAAGGGCUACGGCUCAACCGCAGUAAGCCUUUGAAACUGGGAGACUUGAGUGCAGGAGAGGUGGGUGGAAUUCCUGGUGUAGCGGUGAAAUGCGUAGAUAUUAGGAGGAACACCGGUUGCGAAGGCGGCUCGCUGGACUGUAACUGACACUGAGGCACGAAAGCGUGGGGAGCAAACAGGAUUAGAUACCCCUGUAGUC